rnacentral:rRNA from 1 species
GAUGAACGCUGGCGGCGUGCCUAAUACAUGCAAGUCGAGCGAACAGACGAGGAGCUUGCUCCUCUGACGUUAGCGGCGGACGGGUGAGUAACACGUGGAUAACCUACCUAUAAGACUGGGAUAACUUCGGGAAACCGGAGCUAAUACCGGAUAAUAUAUUGAACCGCAUGGUUCAAUAGUGAAAGACGGUUUUGCUGUCACUUAUAGAUGGAUCCGCGCCGCAUUAGCUAGUUGGUAAGGUAACGGCUUACCAAGGCGACGAUGUGUAGCCGACCUGAGAGGGUGAUCGGCCACACUGGAACUGAGACACGGUCCAGACUCCUACGGGAGGCAGCAGUAGGGAAUCUUCCGCAAUGGGCGAAAGCCUGACGGAGCAACGCCGCGUGAGUGAUGAAGGUCUUCGGAUCGUAAAACUCUGUUAUUAGGGAAGAACAAAUGUGUAAGUAACUAUGCACGUCCUGACGGUACCUAAUCAGAAAGCCACGGCUAACUACGUG